UCGAUCUGCUGAGGACAAAUGAAGUGGACAUGGGCGUCGAUUCCGCCCGCAGUGAGAAUGUGGUUUUCUCCAGCAAUCACUUCGGUACUCGGACCGAUAAUGAUGUCUACACCAGGCUGAAUAUCUGGAUUGCCCGCUUUACCAAUGGCGGCGAUCCGGCCAUCUUUGAGCCCCACAUCCGCCUUAAUAAUGCCCCAGUGAUCCAAAAUAACCGCAUUCGUAAUCACUGUAUCGACAGCGACGCUACGAGACGCUUGGCUUUGGCCCAUACCAUCAC
rnacentral:sRNA from 1 species